UACAGAGGAGCCAAGCGUUGUCCGGAUUGACUGGGCGUAAAGCGCACGCAGGCGGAUGCGCGCGUGGGGUGUGAAAUCUGGCCGCUUAACGGCCAGGCGCCAUCCCAUACGGCGCGUCUGGAGUGAUGCAGAGGUCGGUGGAAUUGCCGGUGUAGUGGUGAAAUGCGUAGAGAUCGGCAGGAACACCCAGGGGAAACCAGCCGACUGGGCAUCUACUGACGU
rnacentral:rRNA from 1 species